UAGGGAAUCUUCGGCAAUGGACGAAAGUCUGACCGAGCAACGCCGCGUGAGUGAAGAAGGUUUUCGGAUCGUAAAACUCUGUUGUUAGAGAAGAACAAGGACGUUAGUAACUGAACGUCCCCUGACGGUAUCUAACCAGAAAGCCACGGAUAACUACGUGCCAGCAGCCGCGGUAAUACGUAGGUGGCAAGCGUUGUCCGGAUUUAUUGGGCGUAAAGCGAGCGCAGGCGGUUUCUUAAGUCUGAUGUGAAAGCCCCCGGCUCAACCGGGGAGGGUCAUUUGAAACUGGGAGACUUGAGUGCAGAAGAGGAGAGUGGAAUUCCAUGUGUAGCGGUGAAAUGCGUAGAUAUAUGGAGGAACAACAGUGGCGAAGGCGGCUCUCUGGUCUGUAACUGACGCUGAGGCUCGAAAGCGUGGUGAGCAAACAGG
rnacentral:rRNA from 1 species